rnacentral:rRNA from 1 species
UACGUAGGCAGCAAGCGUUGUUCGGAGUUACUGGGCGUAAAGGGUGUGUAGGCGGUUUUUUAAGUUUGGUGUGAAAUCUCCCGGCUCAACUGGGAGGGUGCGCCGAAUACUGAAAAGACUAGAGUGCGGGAGAGGAAAGUGGAAUUCCUGGUGUAGCGGUGAAAUGCGUAGAUAUCAGGAGGAACACCGGUGGUGUAGACGGCUUUCUGGACCGUAACUGACGCUGAGACACGAAAGCGUGGGUAGCAAACAGG